rnacentral:rRNA from 1 species
AGUCGAGUGCGCGUGCCGUAGCAAUACGGUAUGGCGCACGGCGCACGGGUGCGUAACACGUGGGCAAUCUGCCCUCCGGUGGGGAAUAACCCCGCGAAAGCGGGGCUAAUUCCGCAUAACAUUCCCUGGACUCUGGUUCGGGGAUUCAAAGCAGCAAUGCGCCGGAGGAGGAGCCCGCGCCCGAUUAGCUAGUUGGUGAGGUGACGGCUCACCAAGGCAAUGAUCGGUAGCUGGUCUGAGAGGAUGGCCAGCCACACUGGAACUGAGACACGGUCCAGACUCCUACGGGAGGCAGCAGUGGGGAAUCUUGCGCAAUGGGCGAAAGCCUGACGCAGCGACGCCGCGUGGGGGAUGAAGCUUCUCGGAGUGUAAACCCCUUUCGACCGGGACGAAUGCCCGCAAGGGAGUGACGGUACCGGUAGAAGAAGCCCCGGCUAACUACGUGCCAGCAGCCGCGGUAAGACGUAGGGGGCCAGCGUUGUUCGGAAUUACUGGGUGUAAAGGGUUCGUAGGCGGUGUGGCAAGUCGGGAGUGAAAUUUCUGGGCUUAACCCAGAAGCUGCUUCCGAAACUGCUGUGCUAGAGUGCGGGAGAGGCGCGUGGAAUUGCAGGUGUAGCGGUGAAAUGCGUAGAUAUCUGCAGGAACACCCGUGGCGAA